rnacentral:rRNA from 1 species
AGGUAAUAGAUACCCGGGUAGUCCACGCCGUAAACUAUGGAUGCUAGCUGUUAGAAGUAUCGACCCUUCUAGUAGCGAAAGCUAAACGCGUUAAGCAUCCCGCCUGUGGAGUACGAGCGCAAGCUUAAAACAUAAAGGAAUUGACGGGGACCCGCACAAGCGGUGGAGCGUGUUGUUUAAUUCGACGAUAAGCGAAGAACCUUACCAGGGCUUGACAUCUUGGGAAUUUCUCCGAAAGGAGAAAGUGCCUUCGGGAACCCAAUGACAGGUGUUGCAUGGCCGUCGUCAGCUCGUGUCGUGAGAUGUUUGGUUAAGUCCAUCAACGAGCGCAACCCUUAUAGUCAGUUGAAUUUCUCUGGCUAGACUGCCCCGGCAACGGGGUAGGAAGGAGGGGAUGAUGUCAGGUCAGUAUUACCCUUACGUCCUGGGCUACAAACACGCUACAAUGGCCGGUACAAAGGGCAGCCAACCCGCGAGGGGUAGCAAAUCCCAUCAAAGCCGGUCUCAGUUCGGAUUGUAGGCUGAAACCCGCCUGCAUGAAGCUGGAAUCGCUA